UACGUAGGGUGCAAGCGUUAAUCGGAAUUACUGGGCGUAAAGCGUGCGCAGGCGGUGAUGUAAGACAGGUGUGAAAUCCCCGGGCUUAACCUGGGAACUGCAUUUGUGACUGCAUCGCUGGAGUGCGGCAGAGGGGAUGGAAUUCCGCGUGUAGCAGUGAAUGCGUAGAUAUGCGGAGGAACACCGAUGGCGAAGGCAAUCCCUGGGCCUGCACUGACGCUCAUGCACGAAAGCGUGGGAGCGAACAGG
rnacentral:rRNA from 1 species